UUCAGCAAGGAGGCCGUGGGGCUCGGUUUCCAGGCCAGAGUGACUGUGGUGCGUCCCAGGGAGGUCACAUCCACCCUUGGAUCAUACGGGCUCUCUGCUCCCCCAGCCCACAGAGUAAAGAGUGCAAGGAAUGAACUCAAGACUGGUUUUGAAGGAAACACCAAGGAGGAGAUAUGAAGCAUUUAUGUUGUUUUCUGGUGGUAGGGAGUAGAGCAUAUGAUGGAAGAGGAAGAGGAGGAGGAAGA